CAGCCCCACGGGAAUACGUAGGUGGCAAGCGUUGUCCGGAAUUAUUGGGCGUAAAGGGCUCGCAGGCGGUUUCUUAAGUCUGAUGUGAAAGCCCCCGGCUCAACCGGGGAGGGUCAUUGGAAACUGGGAAACUUGAGUGCAGAAGAGGAGAGUGGAAUUCCACGUGUAGCGGUGAAAUGCGUAGAGAUGUGGGGGAACACCAGUGGCGAAGGCGACUCUCUGGUCUGUAACUGACGCUGAGGAGCGAAAGCGUGGGGAGCGAACAGGAUUAGAGACCCCAGUAGUCCCUGUCUCUUAUACA
rnacentral:rRNA from 1 species